rnacentral:rRNA from 1 species
GAAACGGGUGGUAAUGCCGGAUGCUCCGACUCCUCGCAUGGGGUGUCGGGAAAGAUUUCAUCGGUAUGGGAUGGGGUCGCGUCCUAUCAGGUAGUCGGCGGGGUAACGGCCCACCGAGCCUACGACGGGUAGCCGGCCUGAGAGGGCGACCGGCCACAUUGGGACUGAGAUACGGCCCAGACUCCUACGGGAGGCAGCAGUGGGGAAUAUUGCACAAUGGGCGCAAGCCUGAUGCAGCGACGCCGCGUGCGGGAUGACGGCCUUCGGGUUGUAAACCGCUUUUGAUCGGGAGCAAGCCUUCGGGUGAGUGUACCUUUCGAAUAAGCACCGGCUAACUACGUGCCAGCAGCCGCGGUAAUACGUAGGGUGCAAGCGUUAUCCGGAAUUAUUGGGCGUAAAGGGCUCGUAGGCGGUUCGUCGCGUCCGGUGUGAAAGUCCAUCGCUUAACGGUGGAUCUGCGCCGGGUACGGGCGGGCUGGAGUGCGGUAGGGGAGACUGGAAUUCCCGGUGUAACGGUGGAAUGUGUAGAUAUCGGGAA